AGGGUUUGAUCAUGGCUCAGGAUGAACGCUAGCGGCAGGCUUAACACAUGCAAGUCGAGGGGUAUAGUAGCAAUACUAGAGACCGGCGCACGGGUGCGUAACGCGUAUGCAAUCUACCUUUUGCAGAGGGAUAGCCCAGAGAAAUUUGGAUUAAUACCUCAUAGUAUAUAGAGUUGGCAUCAACAUUAUAUUAAAGUCACAACGGCAAAAGAUGAGCAUGCGUCCCCAUUAGCUAGUUGGUAAGGUAACGGCUUACCAAGGCAACGAUGGGUAGGGGUCCUGAGAGGGAGAUCCCCCACACUGGUACUGAGACACGGACCAGACUCCUACGGGAGGCAGCAGUGAGGAAUAUUGGACAAUGGGCGCAAGCCUGAUCCAGCCAUGCCGCGUGCAGGAUGACGGUCCUAUGGAUUGUAAACUGCUUUUAUACGAGAAGAAACAUCCCGACGUGUCGGGACUUGACGGUAUCGUAAGAAUAAGGAUCGGCUAACUCCGUGCCAGCAGCCGCGGUAAUACGGAGGAUCCAAGCGUUAUCCGGAAUCCUUGGGUUUAAAGGGUCC
rnacentral:rRNA from 1 species